UGGUGGAGUGAUUUGUCUGGUUAAUUCCGAUAACGAACGAGACCUUAACCUGCUAAAUAGCCAGGCCGGCUUUGCUGGUCGCCGGCUUCUUAGAGGGACUGUCAGCGUGUAGCUGACGGAAGUUUGAGGCAAUAACA
rnacentral:rRNA from 1 species